rnacentral:lncRNA from 1 species
UCCCUCCCUGGGUUCAAUUCCUGGUACCAAGAAACAAAAAUGAACAAACAAAAACCUGAGAUGAGAAAAAGAGCAAUGCUUAAUAACACCUAUGUAAGACCAGGCGGAAGAAAAUAAUCCAUUUUUACUUUAUAUGCUAAAAGAAACCACUGUCUACUACACUGACUAAUAACAGAUUUUGAAGAUGAAAUUUUGCUUGAGAAAGUAGCCCCUUGUCUCCCCUACCCAUUGGUUUCAUUCUAUUUGGUUUUGCUUUUCUCCUGAAGCUUCUUGUAACCACACCCUUGGCUAUAGCUGAGGUCACUGGAAAAGAAAUGAAAUGCAAAUAUGCGUUGUGCUUAUGGGUUUUCCUUCCUUCCCAGGCACACGUUGAUGUCACACUCCAAGGCUCAUGGCAGCUUGCAGAGGGAUGCCCUAGAACCAGAGUGACAACACUAGCACUUGGAUUUUCCCCCUGGAUUGCUCCUCACCCUAGUAUCCACUAGGCUUCUGUUUGGUGGAAACCGGAAAAGCACAUAAGGUUCUCUGGAGCAGGCAGUGAAGCUGCAGGCAUCAGGCAAUCCAAGUUGGUGUGACUGUCUUUUAGGCAGAGUGUUGAGGGAGAUUAGCAUAGAACCCUUUCCAGGUAAAAAUAGGACUUUUACCAAAACCAUGAAUGGAGAACCCCAAUAUACAGGGAAAGAAUUGAAAAGAAAAAGAGAAGGAGGGAGGGUUUGCUAGUAGUUUAGCCAAGGUCUCAUCCCAUGUAUUAGCUGUUAACUUUGAUCAUGUUACAGAGGGAUACCCUAGAAUCAGAGUUACCUAACCUAAGCCUUAUUUUUCCACAGUUGUAAAAUGGGGAUAAUGAAUACCUACCUCAAAAACUUAUUAUCAUGAUUAAAUAAGGUAGAGUUGGUAAAGAACCUUAUAUAUUACUUGGUGCUUAAUGAGUAUUUAAAAAUAUCAUUUGCUUUCUGCAAAUCUUCUUUUUCAUAUUGCACACUGGAGCUGUGGUCAAUUGUGUGCA